rnacentral:rRNA from 1 species
AUUGAACGCUGGCGGCAGGCCUAACACAUGCAAGUCGAGCGGUUGACGGGAGCUUGCUCCCUGAUUCAGCGGCGGACGGGUGAGUAAUGCCUAGGAAUCUGCCUAUUAGUGGGGGACAACGUUUCGAAAGGAACGCUAAUACCGCAUACGUCCUACGGGAGAAAGCAGGGGACCUUCGGGCCUUGCGCUAAUAGAUGAGCCUAGGUCGGAUUAGCUUGUUGGUGAGGUAAUGGCUCACCAAGGCGACGAUCCGUAACUGGUCUGAGAGGAUGAUCAGUCACACUGGAACGGAGACACGGUCCAGACUCCUGCGGGAGGCAGCAGUGGGGAAUAUUGGACAAUGGGCGAAAGCCUGAUCCAGCCAUGCCGCGUGUGUGAAGAAGGUCUUCGGAUUGUAAAGCACUUUAAGUUGGGAGGAAGGGUUGUAGAUUAAUACUCUGCAAUUUUGACGUUACCGACAGAAUAAGCACCGGCUAACUCUGUGCCAGCCGCCGCCGUAA